UACGGGGGGGGGCAAGCGUUGUUCGGAAUUACUGGGCGUAAAGGGCUCGUAGGUGGCCAAUUAGGUCAGACGUGAAAUCCCCAGGCUCAACUUGGGAACUGCGUCUGAUACUGGUUGGCUUGAAUUCGGGAGAGGGAUGCAGAAUUCCAGGUGUAGCGGUGAAAUGCGUAGAUAUCUGGAGGAAUACCGGUGGCGAAGGCGGCAUCCUGGACCGAGAUUGACACUGAUGAGCGAAAGCCAGGGGAGCAAACGGG
rnacentral:rRNA from 1 species